GCCUGGGUGGCUCAGUCGGUUAAGCGUCUGGCUUUGGUUCAGGUCAUGAUCUCACAGCUGGUGAGUUCAAGCCCCGCCUCGGGCU
rnacentral:tRNA from 1 species